CACGUAAGGGGCAAGCGUUGUUCGGAAUUAUUGGGCGUAAAGGGUACGUAGGCGGUUUGGUAAGCCUGGCGUGAAAUCCUGCAGCUUAACUGUAGAGCUGCGCUGGGAACUGCGAAACUUGAGUCAUGGAAGGGGAGUUAGAAUUCCAGGUGUAGGGGUGAAAUCUGUAGAUAUCUGGAAGAAUACCGGUGGCGAAGGCGACCUCCUGGCCAAUGACUGACGCUGAGGUACGAAAGUGCGGGGAGCAAACAGG
rnacentral:rRNA from 1 species